CCCUUAGAUGUUCUGGGCCGCACGCGCGCUACACUGACGAAUGCAACGAGCUUAUAACCUUGGCCGAAAGGUCUGGGUAAUCUCCAAAUUUCGUCGUGAUGGGGAUAGAUUAUUGCAAUUAUUAAUCUUCAACGAGGAAUGCCUAGUAAGCGCAAGUCAUCAGCUUGCGUUGAUUACGUCCCUGCCCUUUGUACACACCGCCCGUCGCUCCUACCGAUUGAAUGGUCCGGUGAAGCGUUCGGACCGUGGCCUUUGGACGGUUCGCCGUCUGUUGGCUGCGGGAAGUUCGUUAAACCUUAUCAUUUCGAGGAAGGAGAAGUCGUAACA
rnacentral:rRNA from 1 species